UAUAUUAUGCAGUGCUCGGGUACAGAUAUCUGUCAUAGGUUAGCUUGUGAUCCUUUGGGUUCAUGAGCACCGUGUAGCAUUUCGAGUACUAGAUUCCCGGCAUUAUAGUUUAAGGAACAAGUUCUUAGUCAUUUAAGGAAUAAAGGAUUUGAAUACGCGGCUAGGAUAGAGAUAUACUUAGAAGUCUUUCUUGGUUCACUUGCAAGAUGAUAGCUUAAUGCAUCAAAAUGGAUAAUUGGAUCCCUGC
rnacentral:lncRNA from 1 species